rnacentral:rRNA from 1 species
GGUUAAGCGACUAAGCGUACACGGUGGAUGCCCUGGCAGUCAGAGGCGAUGAAGGACGUGCUAAUCUGCGAUAAGCGUCGGUAAGGUGAUAUGAACCGUUAUAACCGGCGAUUUCCGAAUGGGGAAACCCAGUGUGAUUCGUCACACUAUCAUUAACUGAAUCCAUAGGUUAAUGAGGCGAACCGGGGGAACUGAAACAUCUAAGUACCCCGAGGAAAAGAAAUCAACCGAGAUUCCCCCAGUAGCGGCGAGCGAACGGGGAGCAGCCCAGAGCCUGAAUCAGUGUGUGUGUUAGUGGAAGCGUCUGGAAAGGCGCGCGAUACAGGGUGACAGCCCCGUACACAAAAAUGCACAUGCUGUGAGCUCGAUGAGUAGGGCGGGACACGUGGUAUCCUGUCUGAAUAUGGGGGGACCAUCCUCCAAGGCUAAAUACUCCUGACUGACCGAUAGUGAACCAGUACCGUGAGGGAAAGGCGAAAAGAACCCCGGCGAGGGGAGUGAAAAAGAACCUGAAACCGUGUACGUACAAGCAGUGGGAGCCUCUUAAUGGGGUGACUGCGUACCUUUUGUAUAAUGGGUCAGCGACUUAUAUUCUGUAGCAAGGUUAACCGAAUAGGGGAGCCGAAGGGAAACCGAGUCUUAACUGGGCGUUAAGUUGCAGGGUAUAGACCCGAAACCCGGUGAUCUAGCCAUGGGCAGGUUGAAGGUUGGGUAACACUAACUGGAGGACCGAACCGACUAAUGUUGAAAAAUUAGCGGAUGACUUGUGGCUGGGGGUGAAAGGCCAAUCAAACCGGGAGAUAGCUGGUUCUCCCCGAAAGCUAUUUAGGUAGCGCCUCGUGAAUUCAUCUCCGGGGGUAGAGCACUGUUUCGGCAAGGGGGUCAUCCCGACUUACCAACCCGAUGCAAACUGCGAAUACCGGAGAAUGUUAUCACGGGAGACACACGGCGGGUGCUAACGUCCGUCGUGAAGAGGGAAACAACCCAGACCGCCAGCUAAGGUCCCAAAGUCAUGGUUAAGUGGGAAACGAUGUGGGAAGGCCCAGACAGCCAGGAUGUUGGCUUAGAAGCAGCCAUCAUUUAAAGAAAGCGUAAUAGCUCACUGGUCGAGUCGGCCUGCGCGGAAGAUGUAACGGGGCUAAACCAUGCACCGAAGCUGCGGCAGCGACACUGUGUGUUGUUGGGUAGGGGAGCGUUCUGUAAGCCUGUGAAGGUGUGCUGUGAGGCAUGCUGGAGGUAUCAGAAGUGCGAAUGCUGACAUAAGUAACGAUAAAGCGGGUGAAAAGCCCGCUCGCCGGAAGACCAAGGGUUCCUGUCCAACGUUAAUCGGGGCAGGGUGAGUCGACCCCUAAGGCGAGGCCGAAAGGCGUAGUCGAUGGGAAACAGGUUAAUAUUCCUGUACUUGGUGUUACUGCGAAGGGGGGACGGAGAAGGCUAUGUUGGCCGGGCGACGGUUGUCCCGGUUUAAGCGUGUAGGCUGGUUUUCCAGGCAAAUCCGGAAAACUAAGGCUGAGGCGUGAUGACGAGGCACUACGGUGCUGAAGCAACAAAUGCCCUGCUUCCAGGAAAAGCCUCUAAGCAUCAGGUAACAUCAAAUCGUACCCCAAACCGACACAGGUGGUCAGGUAGAGAAUACCAAGGCGCUUGAGAGAACUCGGGUGAAGGAACUAGGCAAAAUGGUGCCGUAACUUCGGGAGAAGGCACGCUGAUAUGUAGGUGAAGUCCCUCGCGGAUGGAGCUGAAAUCAGUCGAAGAUACCAGCUGGCUGCAACUGUUUAUUAAAAACACAGCACUGUGCAAACACGAAAGUGGACGUAUACGGUGUGACGCCUGCCCGGUGCCGGAAGGUUAAUUGAUGGGGUUAGCGGUAACGCGAAGCUCUUGAUCGAAGCCCCGGUAAACGGCGGCCGUAACUAUAACGGUCCUAAGGUAGCGAAAUUCCUUGUCGGGUAAGUUCCGACCUGCACGAAUGGCGUAAUGAUGGCCAGGCUGUCUCCACCCGAGACUCAGUGAAAUUGAACUCGCUGUGAAGAUGCAGUGUACCCGCGGCAAGACGGAAAGACCCCGUGAACCUUUACUAUAGCUUGACACUGAACAUUGAGCCUUGAUGUGUAGGAUAGGUGGGAGGCUUUGAAGUGUGGACGCCAGUCUGCAUGGAGCCGGCCUUGAAAUACCACCCUUUAAUGUUUGAUGUUCUAACGUUGGCCCCUGAUCGGGGUUGCGGACAGUGUCUGGUGGGUAGUUUGACUGGGGCGGUCUCCUCCUAAAGAGUAACGGAGGAGCACGAAGGUUGGCUAAUCCUGGUCGGACAUCAGGAGGUUAGUGCAAUGGCAUAAGCCAGCUUGACUGCGAGCGUGACGGCGCGAGCAGGUGCGAAAGCAGGUCAUAGUGAUCCGGUGGUUCUGAAUGGAAGGGCCAUCGCUCAACGGAUAAAAGGUACUCCGGGGAUAACAGGCUGAUACCGCCCAAGAGUUCAUAUCGACGGCGGUGUUUGGCACCUCGAUGUCGGCUCAUCACAUCCUGGGGCUGAAGUAGGUCCCAAGGGUAUGGCUGUUCGCCAUUUAAAGUGGUACGCGAGCUGGGUUUAGAACGUCGUGAGACAGUUCGGUCCCUAUCUGCCGUGGGCGCUGGAGAACUGAGGGGGGCUGCUCCUAGUACGAGAGGACCGGAGUGGACGCAUCACUGGUGUUCGGGUUGUCAUGCCAAUGGCACUGCCCGGUAGCUAAAUGCGGAAGAGAUAAGUGCUGAAAGCAUCUAAGCACGAAACUUGCCCCGAGAUGAGUUCUCCCUGACUCCUUGAGAGUCCUGAAGGAACGUUGAAGACGACGACGUUGAUAGGCCGGGUGUGUAAGCGCAGCGAUGCGUUGAGCUAACCGGUACUAAUGAACCGUGAGGCUUAACCUU